rnacentral:tRNA from 1 species
GAGAGAGGCCCGACGGCAAUGAAGACUGCUAAUUAUCACCUCCCUGGUUUGACUCCUGGGCUCACUUA